rnacentral:rRNA from 1 species
UACGUAGGGAGCAAGCGUUGUCCGGAUUUACUGGGUGUAAAGGGUGCGUAGGCGGCUUUACAAGUCAGGCGUGAAAUAUAUGGGCUUAACCCAUAGACUGCGUUUGAAACUGUAGAGCUUGAGUAAGGUAGAGGUAGGCGGAAUUCCCGGUGUAGCGGUGAAAUGCGUAGAGAUCGGGAGGAACACCAGUGGCGAAGGCGGCCUACUGGGCCUUAACUGACGCUGAGGCACGAAAGCAUGGGUAGCAAACAGG